AAAAUUAUUAAAAAUUUUAUUUUAAAACUUUUCAACUUUUAAUUUUCAAUAAAUAAUUUUAAAAUAAAUUUCAGUCACACCAAACAUCUUCUAUAAAACUUUUAGCUUUUUUUACAUUUUCCAACCAGACGCGGCACAAAUUGGGGUAACUUAUCCUGCAUAUCCAAUCCCCAAUAACGUGACCUUACGGAUAAUUGCCAACUUGCUCCCAAUCAGACUUCGAUUUGAACACACUCGCUGAUCCGUACCGUGUGAGUGUAUAUACUCUAAACCUUCCCCUUCAAUAUGCCCUUUGCUAUGGGGAAAUCGCACUUACAACCCUAAAUGCAAUUAAAAUCUAACCCUUUUACUCCUUGAAAUCACAGUGCACUACCCUAUUUUAUGAUUUUAUGUAAUAAUGUAGUCCAAUCUUUAGUUGAUCGACUGUU
rnacentral:lncRNA from 1 species